UACGGAGGGGGCGAGCGUUAUUCGGAAUUAUUGGGCGUAAAGGGCGCGUAGGCGGCCCGGUAAGUCAAAGGUGAAAUCCCUCGGCUCAACUGAGGAACUGCCUUUGAAACUGUCGGGCUUGAGGCCGGGAGGGGGUAGCGGAAUUCCCAGUGUAGCGGUGAAAUGCGUAGAUAUUGGGAGGAACACCGGUGGCGAAGGCGGCUACCUGGACCGGUACUGACGCUGAGGCACGAAAGCGUGGGGAGCAAACAGG
rnacentral:rRNA from 1 species